AUUGAACGCUGGCGGAAUGCUUUACACAUGCAAGUCGAACGGCAGCACGGACUUCGGUCUGGUGGCGAGUGGCGAACGGGUGAGUAAUACAUCGGAACGUGCCCAAUCGUGGGGGAUAACGUAGCGAAAGCUACGCUAAUACCGCAUACGAUCUAAGGAUGAAAGCGGGGGAUCGCAAGACCUCGCGCGAUUGGAGCGGCCGAUGGCAGAUUAGGUAGUUGGUCGGGUAAAGGCCUACCAAGCCGACGAUCUGUAGCUGGUCUGAGCGGAUGAUCAGCCAAACUGGGACUGAGACACGGCCCAGACUACUACGGGAGGCAGCAGUGGGGAAUUUUGGACAAUGGACGCAAGUCUGAUCCAGCCAUUCCGCGUGCAGGAUGAAGGCCCUCGGGUUGUAAACUGCUUUUGUACAGAACGAAAAGGCUCUGGUUAAUACCUAGGGCUCAUGACGGUACUGUAAGAAUAAGCACCGGCUAACUACGUGCCAGCCGCCGCCGUAA
rnacentral:rRNA from 1 species